UACGUAGGCAGCAAGCGUUGUUCGGAGUUACUGGGCGUAAAGGGUGUGUAGGCGGUUUUUUAAGUUUGGUGUGAAAUCUCCCGGCUCAACUGGGAGGGUGCGCCGAAUACUGAAAGACUAGAGUGCGGGAGAGGAAAGUGGAAUUCCUGGUGUAGCGGUGAAAUGCGUAGAUAUCGGGAGGAACACCAGUGGCGAAGGCGGCUCUCUGGACCUCUGCUGACGCUGAGGCGCGAAAGCGUGGGGAGCGAUCCGG
rnacentral:rRNA from 1 species